rnacentral:rRNA from 1 species
CCUACGGGUGGCAGCAGUGAGGAAUAUUGGUCAAUGGGCGCGAGCCUGAACCAGCCAAGUAGCGUGAAGGAUGACUGCCCUACGGGUUGUAAACUUCUUUUAUAAAGGAAUAAAGUGAGGCACGUGUGCCUUUUUGUAUGUACUUUAUGAAUAAGGCUCGGCUAACUCCGUGCCAGCAGCCGCGGUAAUACGGAGGGUCCGAGCGUUAUCCGGAUUUAUUGGGUUUAAAGGGUGCGUAGAUGGGUUGUUAAGUCAGUUGUGAAAGUUUGCGGCUCAACCGUAAAAUUGCAAUUGAUACUGGCAGUCUUGAGUACAGUAGAGGUAGGCGGAAUUCGUGGUGUAGCGGUGAAAUGCUUAGAUAUCACGAAGAACACCGAUUGCGAAGGCAGCACACUGGACUGCAACUGACACUGAGGCACGAAAGUGUGGGUAUCAAACAGGAUUAGAUACCCGAGUAGUC